UAGGGAAUCUUCCACAAUGGACGAAAGUCUGAUGGAGCAACGCCGCGUGAACGAUGAAGGCCUUCGGGUCGUAAAGUUCUGUUGUAAGGGAAGAACAAGUGCCGCAGGCAAUGGCGGCACCUUGACGGUACCUUGCGAGAAAGCCACGGCUAACUACGUGCCAGCAGCCGCGGUAAUACGUAGGUGGCAAGCGUUGUCCGGAAUUAUUGGGCGUAAAGCGCGCGCAGGCGGCCUCUUAAGUCUGAUGUGAAAGCCCCCGGCUCAACCGGGGAGGGCCAUUGGAAACUGGGAGGCUUGAGUAUAGGAGAGAAGAGUGGAAUUCCACGUGUAGCGGUGAAAUGCGUAGAGAUGUGGAGGAACACCAGUGGCGAAGGCGACUCUUUGGCCUAUAACUGACGCUGAGGCGCGAAAGCGUGGGGAGCAAACAGGAUUAGAUACCCCGGUAGUCCACGCCGUAAACGAUGAGUGCUAGGUGUUGGAGGGUUUCCGCCCUUCAGUGCUGAAGCUAACGCAUUAAGCACUCCGCCUGGGGAGUACGGUCGCAAGGCUG
rnacentral:rRNA from 1 species